UACGGAGGGUGCAAGCGUUAUCCGGAUUUACUGGGUUUAAAGGGUGCGUAGGCGGGCUUUUAAGUCAGUGGUGAAAACUUCGAGCUUAACUCGAAAACUGCCAUUGAUACUAUUAGUCUUGAAUUUAGUUGAGGUUGGCGGAAUGUGUCGUGUAGCGGUGAAAUGCUUAGAUAUGACACAGAACACCGAUUGCGAAGGCAGCUGGCUAAACUAAAAUUGACGCUGAGGCACGAAAGUGUGGGGAUCAAACAGG
rnacentral:rRNA from 1 species